GGCGGAGUCGCAGCACAUUCCAGGCGUAGUAGCUUACAACCUCGCCUCCGGAGCGUCUGCGGCGGCUGGCCGUAAAACCCUUACAACUCUAGUGGUUGACCUCGGAUUAGGUAGGAAUACCCGCUGAACUUAAGCAUA
rnacentral:rRNA from 1 species